CUGAGCAGACGGCAGUUGGUUAACCAACUGAGCCAUCCAGGAGCCCAACCCAGAAUUUUCCAGGAGCCACCUGGGAGCCAAGACUGCGGCGGGAGACCAUUCCUUACUUUCCAUCCAGCCAUCAGCGCCCUGUUUUCUCUCCAGCAGAACACUGGGGCCACCGCAAGAGCCACAGGGAUACUUGAUGAGGACACUGAGAGCGGAGACCCUGACCCUUCUGACCAUGGUUGAACUCCAGCACCCAGAACGCAGGCUACACUCACCCAAGUGGGAUGAUUCAAGAUGACCCCCUUGGUCCGUGGGCUGGAGCAGGGAGCCCACUUGGGGCCGAUUCCACACAGCUCGGGCUGGGAAGCUGGAAGCUGCAGAGUCAAGUCUCCUUCAAGCCAUCUCCGCCAGUCAGCUUGAGUAUUUUCCCCCCUGGGAUGGAUUUCCCCGUAAAAUAAAUGUCUUGUCUGAAUUAAUCUUAUUUUUAAAAGGAGAGAGUCAUCAUAUUGUAAAGACAGAUCAUAAAAAGAUGCAUCAAUCUGUCAGAAGGCUGGUUACGAUGAGUGUUUGUUUAGCAGAAACAGUGCCCC